CUUUUCCCUUUCUCUUAUAAUCUGGAUGUCAGUAGAGUUGUGUUUUAUUUUACUGCAUUUUAUUUUAUGGCAUUAAGAAUACACAUUUCCCUUCAAAAUCUUCUUGAUAUCAAAUGUAACAUUAUUAUGAAAAUUGUCAACUGAAAACCUAAAAAACAAAAUUCUGAGGUCAAAGCCACACAGCAUGAGCAAUAGUGUCUUGAACUUCCUUUAUCAAUGCCAAGCUGAAGAGACCAUCUUUACAGAGUUCUUGGGUCUUCCUGGAAAAGAGAAGGUGAAGAGCUGGAUUACCACAAAUCUGAGGUAUUAAUGACAUGAUCAAAAAUUAAAAGUACUAGAAAUGUUGCAAAACAAGAAUUCC